AUCACCGACACAAAUGAUGUGGCUCCGUUUACUGAGGAAAAAGCUUGAAUUCUGGCUGUUGCUUGCCUCAAGCUGCUGUAGGUUACUGGAACCAUGCUGCUGCCGAGCAGCCAGAGAUCGUCUCAUUGCUGUCACCCUUCACCUUGUGUGAAGUAGAGUGGCGCCAACAAUCGGCGCCAUAUCAGUGCACCGACCUGCGACAAUGCCUGCCCCCUCCCCCCAUUGUCCUGAAUGGAAAUCAGAGAAAACAAAACCAAAGGAGAGCCACAUUGAAGCAGGAGUAAUUGGUUGCCCGGACUUGUGCAUGGAGGUCUAUGAACGUCAAGUGAUUGGAUGUGCAUUCCGGAAAAAUAAUUGAGCUUCAGCCACCACGAGAAGACUGGCAUUGACUUGAGAUGGUUUACAUUCCCUGCUCUCUCUCUCUCCUUCAGAAUUUCUAAUCUUCUCCUAGAGAACACCUUGGUGAAAACAAAACAAAAGGCGA